UGGAAUUGCUAGUAAUCGCGGAUCAGCAUGCCGCGGUGAAUACGUUCCCUGGCCUUGUACACACCGCCCGUCACACCAUGGGAGCCGGUAAUACCCGAAGUCAGUAGCCUAACCGCAAGGAGGACGCGGCCGAAGGUGGGUUUGGUAAUUGGGGUGAAGUCGUAACAAGGUAGC
rnacentral:rRNA from 1 species